CGGUCUCACAGGGCCCUCUCUGGAUGAAAAUGACAGCAGGUAUGCCGCUCGUCUUCGCCCGUCUGUUCUCCGCUUUGAGUCUACAGAUGCUGGGGUAAGUCCUGCCGUCGCUGCCGCACACUGGCUCAUGGGAGUCGCAGACGCACGUGCUGCGUUCAGCGCUCCGCUCUUCACAGGUCAUCCCCGCACCGCACACUCCAAGUCUAUCUUCUCCACAAUAGUCUCCCUCUCCUGCCGCACACACCGAGCAGCAGCCACAGCUGUCCAUCACCACGCCGAAAUAACAAUACUCCAGAGAAGAUGAGCAGCGGGACAGGUCGCACUGAUGCGCGCAUGUAGAGUGUCUCUUCCGUAGAACGCGCGCAUGCAGCGUCGAGGCCAUGAAAACACAGGCCAGCAGCUUCCACAUCAUGAACGAUAAUACAAUUCUCACCAAUAGAUAUACACGGUGUGUGAAUUGUGCUGACUCCAGACUUGAUGUGGAUGUUUUAUACUUCAAAAGAACUACACAUGAAUACUGACAAUCUCGCCAGAAAACUCGCCAGCAUCCUGUCCAUUAACACCUAAGAUAUACAG
rnacentral:lncRNA from 1 species